AAAAUCUCACUCAGACAGCUCUAAAACCAGUCGAGAUCUCUCAGUUGACUUAUCUUAUUGAACAAAAAUAUAUACACACAAUUUCCCUCAGAAACCAUGAAGAUUUUUGCAAUCAUUUUUGCCAUCGUCGCCAUCCUCAUUGGGCUCACAUUUGGUCAGAAAAGUGGGGAAAAAUGUACUUUCACCGGUGUCCAAGCAACGGAUGAUUCCGCGUGUGGCGGAAACCUUCUCUGUGGUAAAACCGGUACGUGCGUCUGUCCCGAUGUGUACGGAUCAUCGACUGCCAAAUUCACCGUGUCCGCUGAUCAAACGACUUGUGUUGCGAAAUCAUAAAUUUUCAAUAAUUGACAUGUCAUUUAUGUAUGUAUAUCGGAAGAAAUGUGUCAAAGUUAUUAAAAAUUUUCAUGAUACAUAUGUAUGUAUUAAAAGCUGUGAUACAGAGGCAUGCUAUUCUUAUCAGCAUUAUAAUUUUGUGCUUGUUAUCCAAAUUUGUAAAUAACUUGCUUAUGAUCGGGAAUACUUAUUAUACAAUUUGUGAAUAGUAAUUAAGAUAUAGAAAAAUAAAUUGAAUACUGCAUGCAAAUUUCA